rnacentral:misc_RNA from 1 species
AACUUUUGGCAAUGGAUCACUUGGCUCUCGCAUCGAUGAAGAACGCAGCGAAUUGCGAUAAGUAAUGUGAAUUGCAGUUUUUCAGUGAAUCAUCGAAUCUUUGAACGCACCUUGCGCCCCUUGGUUAUUCCUUGGGGCAUGCCUGUUUGAGUAUCAUGAACACCUCAACUCUCACGGUCUUCCGUGACGAGCUUGGACUUUGGAGGUCUUGCUGGCCUGUGGUCGGCUCCUCUCAAACGAAUCAGCUUGCCAGUGUUUGGUGGCAUCGCAGGUGUGAUAACUAUCUACGCUUGCGGUCCCCCACCAGGUAACCUUCAGUGAUGGAGGUUCGCUGGGGCUCACAAAUGCCUCUCCUCAGUGAGGAUGGCUUUUUGAACGUUUGAUCUCAAAUCAGGUAGGGCUACCCGCUGAACUUAAGCAUAUCAAUAAGCGGAG